rnacentral:lncRNA from 1 species
AUGGGGAAGGGGCUGGGCGCAGCCCUGGCUUCUCUGCCUCUCCCCGGUUUCCACAGACAGAUCCUUGGUCAGGACUCAGGCAGUCAGUAUGACAAAGAGGUUCCUGAGGGAUCAGGACAAAGUCCCAGGUCCUGGGCAUGGGUCUCAGGGUGUCAGGUUCCAAGGGCCCGUCUGCACUGGGGAGCAGCGUCGCGGAUUCCCCCACUUUCCUGUGUUUCACCACUUAUCCCAACCUCUGUUGGGUCCUUCUUCCAGGAUACUCACCAGGCGACCCCAGUUCCCACUUCCAUUGGAUGUAGAAAAGACAAUCAGCGCCUUCGAGGUCCCGGUUCUAAAGUCCCCACGUACCCACCGGAACUCAGAUUCUCCCCAGACACCGAGGCUGGGGUCCUGACGCCUCGAACCCUUCUCCGGCUGCUCUUGGGGGACCCUGGCCCUGACCGAGACGGGGGCGGGCUCUCACUCUUUGAGGUAAUUCGGCACUGCCUUGUCCCGGACGGGCCACGGGGACCCCCGCUUCAUCGUCGUGGGCUACGUGGACGACACGCAGUUCGUGGGGUUCCACAGCGACGCCACGAGUCCGAGGAUGGAGCCGCGGGCGCUGUGGGUGGAGCAGGAGGGGUAGGAGUAUUGGGAUCGGGAGACGCGGAGAGCCAUGGCCAAGGCACAGACUUUCCGAGUGAGCCUGCAGACCCUGCUCAGCUACUACAACCAGAGCGAGGCAGGGUCUCACAACCUCCCGGGAAUGAUUGGCUUCGACGUGGGGCCGGACGGGAGCUUCCUCCGCGGGUAUCUCCAGUUCGUCUAUGA